GACGAACGCUGGCGGCGUGCCUAAUACAUGCAAGUUGAGCGCUGAAGGUUGGUACUUGUACCAACUGGAUGAGCAGCGAACGGGUGAGUAACGCGUGGGGAAUCUGCCUUUGAGCGGGGGACAACAGUUAGAAACGAAUGCUAAUACCGCAUAAAAACUUUAAACACAAGUUUUAAGUUUGAAAGAUGCAAUUGCACCACGCAAAGAGGAUCCCGCGUUGUAUUAGCUAGGUGGUGAGGUAAAGGCUCACCAAGGCGAUGAUACAUAGCCGACCUGAGAGGGUGGUCGGCCACCUUGGGAACGGGAACCGGCCCAAACUCCCGCGGGAGGCAGCCGUAGGGGAUCUUCGGCAAUGGCCGGAAGUCUGACCGCGGAAAGCCGGGUGAGUGCAGAAGGUUUUCGGAUCGUAAAACUCUGUUGGUAGAGAAGAACGUUGGUGCGAGUGGAAAGCUCCUCAAGUGACGGUACCUACCCAGAAAGGGACGGCUAACUACGUG
rnacentral:rRNA from 1 species